CUUCACUGCCUGUGUGCUUCAACAUUCUCCAUGCUGUUUAUGUUCAAUCAUGCAAGAGAUAAUCAUCAAAGAAGCUGGGCCUGAAUCUCAACACAUACUUAUAUGGCCCGUUGUUGUCUGGCCAUACUCAGGAACAGCGAGUGAUUUUCAAGUGAUGAGAACUCCAAAAAGAACUAGGAGUGUUCAGGCAGGCCAAACCUGUUUCAUCAUGUCAAUGCCCCUGCACACAAAGCCAACUACCUGUGGAUGUGGUUUACAAGGGUAGGAGUGGAAAAUCUUGAGUGAUUUAUUUUCUAUAAUACAAAGCAGAUUGUACACCUCAACACUGCAUUAACCAAGAUCAACACAACAGCCUCUUCAACAACAUUGCCUCUUCUGCAGAAUAAAUAUAUUGCAUGCAAAAUG